rnacentral:rRNA from 1 species
UAAAGUAAUUAAGGGCAGACGGUGGAUGCCUUGGCUCUAAGAGGCGAUGAAGGACGUGACAAGCUGCGAUAAGCUGUGGGUAUUGGCACAUACGACUUGAUCCACAGAUUUCCGAAUGGGGCAACCCAAUAGGUUUAAUAGCCUAUUACCUACGAAUGUAGGAGCAAACGAGGGGAACUGAAACAUCUAAGUACCCUUAGGAGAAGAGAACAAAAGUGAUUCCCUUAGUAGUGGCGAUCGAACGGGGACGAGCCCAAACCAUCCUUGUUUCGGCAAGGGUGGGGUUGUAGGACUACGAUAUGUUACAGGCGGUAAUGAAAAGAAGCGAGUUGGAAAGCUCCACCAUAGAGGGUGAUAGUCCCGUACUUGAAGUGAAGGCUUGGCUAGUAGUAUCCUGAGUAGCGCGGGACACGUGAAAUCCUGUGUGAAUCUGGGGGGUCCAUCCCCCAAGGCUAAAUACUCCUUAGAGACCGAUAGUGAACGAGUACUGUGAAGGAAAGGUGAAAAGUACCUCGCGUAGAGGAUUGAAAUAGACCCUGAACCCGUCUGCUUACAAGCGGUUGGAGCCCUUUAUGGGGUGACAGCGUGCCUUUUGCAUAAUGAACCUACGAGUUACUAUGUAUAGCUAGGGUAAGAGCUUCAGGCUUGGAUCCGUAGCGAAAGCGAGUUUUAAAUGGCGAUUUAGUUAUAUAUAGUAGACGCGAAACCAAGUGAUCUACCCUUGACCAGGUUGAAGUUCAGGUAACACUGCAUGGAGGACCGAACGGUAGAAUGUUGAAAAAUUCUCCGAUGAGUUGAGGGUAGGGGUGAAAGGCUAAUCAAACUUGGAAAUAGCUCGUACUCCCCGAAAUGCAUUUAGGUGCAGCCUUAGAGUUUAAAUAUAAGAGGUAGAGCGACUGAUUGGAUGCGAGGGCUUCGCCGCCUAUCAAGUCCAGACAAACUCCGAAUGCUUAUAUGAACACUCUAGGAGUGAGGGCAUGGGUGCUAAGGUCCAUGUCCGAAAGGAGAAGAAUCCGGACCAUCUGCUAAGGUCCCGAAAUGACAGCUCAGUUGACUUAAACGCGGUCACGAUGCAUAGACAGCUAGGAUGUUGGCUUGGAAGCAGCCAUUCAUUUAAAGAGUGCGUAACAGCUCACUAGUCGAGGAUUGUGGCAUGGAUAAUAAUCGGGCAUAAGUUGUCUACCGAAGCAGUGGGAUUAGUUUUACUAAUCGGUAGGGGAGCAUUCCAGCGAGGUUGAAGGUACAUCGACGAGGUGUGCUGGACUUUCUGGAAGUGCAAAUGUAGGUAUAAGUAACGAUAAAGAGAGUGAGAAUCUCUCUCGCCGAAAGACUAAGGUUUCCUCCUCACCGUUCGUCGGAGGAGGGUUAGUCGGGACCUAAGGGUAAUCCGUAUGGAGAUCUCGAUGGACGAAAGGGUUAAUAUUCCCUUACUCGGUGUGUUAAGUGAUGUGGAGACGGAGAAGUGACAGUCCUGCCUACUGUUGGAAUAGUAGGUUAAAGGGUGUAGACGUUGAUUAUGGUAGGCAAAUCCGCCGUAAGAGUCGAACCUGAUAGUAUGUGAAUCCUUCGGGUGCAGCAAUAUGGGCGUAAACAGGCUCCCAAGAAAAUCCGCUAAACGUUUUAAUGACACAUUGACCCGUACCACAAACCGACACAGGUAGUUGGGUUGAGUAUACUAAGGCGCUCGAGUUAGCCGCGGUUAAGGAACUAGGCAAAUUGGUCCUGUAACUUCGGGAUAAAGGACGCCGUUGGAGUGAUUCAACGGCCGCAGAGAAUAGGCCCAAGCGACUGUUUAUCAAAAACACAUGGCUAUGCUAAUAAGAAAUUAGAUGUAUAUAGCCUGACACCUGCCCGGUGCUGGAAGGUUAAGAGGAGAGGUCAUACGCAAGUAGAAGCCUUGAAUUGAAGCCCCAGUAAACGGCGGCCGUAACUAUAACGGUCCUAAGGUAGCGAAAUUCCUUGUCGGGUAAGUUCCGACCUGCACGAAUGGUGUAACGAUUUGGGCACUGUCUCGACCGCGCGCUCGGUGAAAUUGUAGUAUCGGUGAAGAUGCCGAUUACCCGCAAUGGGACGAAAAGACCCCGUGAACCUUUACUAUAGCUUUACAUUGCCUCUGGGUAUUAGAUGUGUAGGAUAGGCCGGAGACUUAGAAGGAGGCACGCCAGUGUUUCUGGAGUCGCUGUUGAAAUACGGCCCUUUUGGUAUUUGGAUGCUAACUCGACAAUCGAGGACAAUGUAUGGUGGGUAGUUUGACUGGGGUGGUCGCCUCCAAAAAAGUAACGGAGGCUUCUAAAGGUACCCUCAGGCCGAUUGGUAACCGGUCGUAGAGUGUAAUGGUAUAAGGGUGCUUGACUGGGAGACUUACAAGUCGCACAGGUAGGAAACUAGAGCAUAGUGAUCCGGUGGUUCCGCAUGGUAGGGCCAUCGCUCAAAGGAUAAAAGGUACUCCGGGGAUAACAGGCUGAUCGCUCCCAAGAGCUCAUAUCGACGGAGCGGUUUGGCACCUCGAUGUCGGCUCGUCACAUCCUGGGGCUGGAGAAGGUCCCAAGGGUUGGGCUGUUCGCCCAUUAAAGUGGCACGCGAGCUGGGUUCAGAACGUCGUGAGACAGUUCGGUCUCUAUCUAUUGUGGGCGUUAGAUAUUUGCGAGGGUCUGGUACUAGUACGAGAGGACCGUACUGGACGCACCUCUGGUUUAUCAGUUGUUUCGCCAGGAGCAUAGCUGAGUAUCCAUGUGCGGUUUAGGAUAAGUGCUGAAAGCAUCUAAGCACGAAGCCCUCCUCAAGAUUAGAUAUCUUUUAAGGGUGGUUGGAGACUACGACCUUGAUAGGCUGCAAGUGUACGUGCCGUAAUGCAUUUAGCUGAGCAGUACUAAUUACCCGUAAGCUUUAGACUG